CACAACCUGGGGUGUUCGACAAUGGGUUACGUCCACAGGCCGAUACUGAUGUUUUUAGAGUUGGUUACCUACAGUCGGUGAGCAAGCUUGUUAUCAAGCCUAAUGAUUAUGGGACUGACUCCCUUGAACCGUAGGGUUCAAGGACCGAUCACCACACCGGCACCUCGGGCCUUUA
rnacentral:other from 1 species